UUGUAUAGAUAGUUGGAAAAAAAAUAACUUUUUUUUAAAUUUCUUUUCAGGUAUAACAAAUGCGCACUUAAACAAUUGGCAGGUUAACCAAAAUUACUGGAUUUCAAAAAAAAAAAUGGUGUCAUAUAGAAGUACAAUGAAAACAUUUAUAAAUGCGGACACGGUUGCAUCUGUCAAUACAUUGGACCCGAUUUUCGAUGACUCGGCCACACAUUUCAGCCAAAACUGUCGCUAUUUCCUGUUCAAUGUGGGCUAUGAGAUCUACGUCGUUUGCUUGUUGGCAUAGAUGUCGUUUGCUUGUUGGCAUAGACCAUUGACUUGAAGAAGCCCCAAAGAAAAUAGUCCAGAUGCGUCAAAUCGCACGAACGGGGCGGGGAAUCGACUCGAGAUAACACACUCAUCAAACUUACUCUUCAAUAAAACGAUCGUGAUAUGUGCUGUGUGGCUAGUGGCACCAUGCUGUUGAAACCAAAUGUCGUCCAUAUAUUCCAAUUUAGGCCAAAAAUAAUCAGUGAGUAUGGUGCGGUCACGUUGUCUAUUUAAGGUAACAUGGCGAUUGGUAUCGUCGAUGAAGAAGUAUGGCCCAAUGACGCCGCCAGCAUGCAAACCGCAUCAAACAGCUGUUUUUAGAGGAUGAAUAGUUGAUUCAUGAAGCACAUGUCGAUUUUCACCGGACCAAUAACGCAUAUUUCAUGUCACCGUAGCGCAGAGCAAUUAAUCACCAACAACAACAGGUACACCACAUGUACAAUAGAAGUCAUAAACACAUUGACACCACACUUCCUCAUAGUUGAAAUGACUUUUUCACAUAACCAUAAGAAAUUUCCAAGAUUUUCUUCUAUAUCUUUCUAUGACUAUCUAACAAUUGAGACAAAAGGUAGUUGCACAAGAAAACAUGUAAAGAAAUAAUGCUCCUGACACGACAUGCAUAGAUCAACGAUAGUAACACGCGAGAUGCCUACAUAGUGAUGCUUGUGCGAUAAUAUCCCCGCCUGUUCCCUUACCAUGUAAGAUGCAAACUUCCUCAAGCAAUCGAAUUUAUAUCAUAAAAUAUAU
rnacentral:sRNA from 1 species